rnacentral:misc_RNA from 1 species
GACGAACCGGACAAACGUUAUUCGGAAUCACUGGGCUUAAAGGGUGCGUAGGCGGUGUAGUAAGUUGGAUGUGAAAUACCUCGGCUCAACCGAGGAAUUGCGUCCAAAACUACUAUGCUCGAGGAAGGCAGAGGUGAGCGGAACUUAGGGUGGAGCGGUGAAAUGCGUUGAUAUCCUAAGGAACACCGGUGGCGAAAGCGGCUCACUGGGCCUUUUCUGACGCUGAGGCACGAAAGGUAGGGGAGCGAACGGG